GAUUUUGACAUUUGAUUUUAUCUAAAGGGGAUGCAAAGGUUCCAGACCCGAGUAAGGUUGAAUUAAAACAGAACAAAAAAACGGUUACACUUGUUUUUAAUUUAAAACACUAACAACUUAUUUUAUCUAAAUUUUAGAAAAGAUUUAAGGAUAUCGGCUAAAGGAACCUCAAAAUAAGGAACAAUUUUAGGGAAGCUACAUUGAUUCCAUAGGUGAAGCCAGAGGAAAUAAUAGCUAUUAUCAGUGACUUCAAUGAGCCUGGCUCACUUGCUCCAACUGGCUUACCGCUUACACCUUGGUGGGACCAAAUAUAUGGUGAUUCAAGGCGAGGCAGGAGCUGUUAUUCGAGGCAAAAAGGAUCAUGAGGAGCAGUUUGAAACCAUCUCCCAAGCACGUAUAUCAUCAGUUGACCGUGAUUGCUUAAGUGGUUAGGGAGGACAUGUCUACACUGUCUGGAUAAAGAAUGGGAGGCUUGACAAGAUUUGGAAAACCAAAUGUGAAGAAAGAAAGCUACGUGAGCGGGUUGAAGGAGAUUAAGGGGAGCAGCGAAUGCAAAAACAAUUGAAAGGUGUUAUGAGAAAAUUAGAUUAUCCGGAUACUUAAAGGUAGUUUUUUGUGUACUGUUUCGAUUAAUAUCUUAAAAAUUGUUAGUUUUGUAAUAUGUAAUAACUUGAGUUUAUGUUAUUGUAUCUGUGGUUAAUUUGUAAACAAA